ACUAUCAUCCUUUUGGUGAUAGCCUUGAUACUAUACUCUCGGUAAUAGGAAACUUUAUCAGAAUAACCAUCAUCCUUUUAGUGACGGACAUCAUCCUUUUGGUGAUGAAAACCUUUAGAUUUGGAUUGUGUUUAACUUUCAUCCUUUUGGUGAUAGCAAGAUUUGUUGUUGAUCUUACCAUCAUCCUUUUGGUGAUGGUGAUCUUUGUUGUAUCCACUGUAACCAUCAUCCUUUUGGUGAUAACUACUGUUGAAGCUCGGUUUAUCCAUCAUCCUUUUGGUGAUGACAGUCCUGACAAUCAUGGUGAAUUCUAUCAUCCUUUUGGUGAUGACCAUUAACUUGGAUUGUCAUCCUUUUGGUGUCAGAAAACAUGUACAGUUUUGUCUUUACAUUAAAAAAAAAAAAAAAAAACUGUGCAAGAUUUGAAUGUUGACUCGAGGGUUGGCACUGAUCUGACAUUCUACCCCUACUACCUUGGUGCUGUUAGAAUCCAUUGCAUUUUCUUUCUGCAUCCAUUCCAUUGCAUUUCAAAUGACAAAAUUCGGAUCCUUUCGUAUUUAAUUACCUUCCACCACGAAUGUAUGAUGACCGUUGUCAUUCCUACCUUCUAGUUCAAGAUAAUUAAAUAGGGGCAGCCGUCGUACCCCAAUUUUGUCCGGGCAUAUUUAAAUUUUUUCAUACAAUCGAUCUCAUUUUAUUUUUUUUCAUCACAUACAUACCAUUACAUACAUUUUCAUCAUGAAUAAAUGCCUAAAAUGUCAGUCGAAAUGAAUUUAUUGGAGAAUACAGACAAAAUCAGUUGAAUCGUUAAAAUUUGAGGAAAACAGUGUAUUUUUCAAAUAAUAUGUUUUGUGCUGAUAAACAUCAUGAAUAAAUGCCUAAAAUGUCAGUCGAAAUGAAUUUAUUGGAGAAUACAGACAAAAUCAGUUGAAUCGUUAAAAUUUGAGGAAAACAGUGUAUUUUUCAAAUAAUAUGUUUUGUGCUGAUAAUUUUGGUGUGAUUGAUUUAAUUUUCCGAAUAAAUUUGUACUCGAUUUUUGUUUUAAUGGGUCAAUAUUUUUGAAGAAAUUAGAAUGAUAUUUAAUUAAAUAUUAGUUAGAUUUUUUAAAAUAUUAGUUAGUUUUUUUAGAUAUUAAUUAGAAUCAAAUAUUAAUUAGAUUUUUCUUUGUUGAUUUUAUUUUUCUUAAAUAAAUAAUAAGUAUAAAAUAAAUAAAUAGUAAAUUAUAGCAUUGGAUUCUUGUGAGGAAAUGCCAGCUUGCAUAUUUUCUUCACCCUUCACACGUGUCCCUCCGCUCACAAUCUCUCAAGACUCUUCUCUCCACUAUUUCUCCCACUCCCUCAUUUUCGUCCCUCACAGACACUCACACUCCACUCCCCAACGUCUCUCUCCACUGCUAACAACCUCACGCUCUCUCUCUCUAAAAGACCCUCACCUUCCACUCAUUUUUACGGACAACCCACAAACCCUUCUUUCACUCUCUCUCACGCAAAAGAGAAAACAGAAAGAGAAGGCGGAAGAGAAGAAGAAAAACCCUUCUUGUUCUCCAACCCCGCCGCAAACCUCCGAACCCUUUCUCCUCUCACUGACCAAAAACCCAUCACAACCUCCGUCUCCACUACCUUCAAAACACAAGCUCAGCCGCCGUCAACCUCCACUGCCGCCGCGGAUUCACCACCGCGAAACCAUCGACCACCCAAAACCCACCGUAAACCUUCAAAAUCCCAAUCGUCAAACCCUUCUUCAUCACAACACAUUCACCGCCGCCACUACCUUAAACCUCCAAAUCCACCAAACCCUAAACCAUCGCUCACCCCCAAUCGCCGCUCACUUUGAAUCUCCGCCGUUUACCACCAACACCACAACCAACAAAUACCCUCCUUCAACACAAACCCUCACACCAUCAUCGAAACCCUCACUCAACAACCGUUUCAACCAUGGCACCACCCAGCUCGGAACGGCAAAACGCGUCCCCAAGGUAGACGUUCCGCCGGAACAGGUGCAGUCAAAAAGCGACGGCUUGGAUCUAUACCAACAAUAUCUUGAAUAGGAUAGUGGAUCUGUCGAAGAUCUUACGGCGCUCACAAGAUACCUUUCUGUUCUAAUGGAAAUCCCGCGACAACCAUGAACUCAGAGCAGCAAACAGAACAUGACAAUUUGAUCAUUUUGGUAGUAUUUCGGUUAAAGCGUCGGAUUUAAGUUUAUGUUGUUUCUAAUGAGUUUACAUUCAGUUUUCAGAUAAGCGAUAUACUUUAAAUUUGCUGCUUUUACCUUCUGUAUGACUACAGUCUUCACGUUUGAAAAUUAAUUAUGGUGACUCAUGGAUGUUUCGAUAGGGUUUCCAGCUUGGUUUGUUUGUGUUGUUUAAAUUGAGGAUACGAAUGAGUUAGUUUAUGGACUGAGAACCUGUAGAUAAUGAACGACUGUGAUCUUGUUUUGAUUAUAGCAUUUGUUUCUUUCCUAUAAGUGUUUGUAUUAAAAUGUGAUUAGAUUACCGCUUGAAGCUUGUUUAGACAUUACAAGUGUGUUAUAUUGACUGUUAGAUGUAUUAGUUUUGUGGGAAGAUUUUUUGUGAAAUUAAAGUUUAUUUUCCCAUCAGUGUUAUCAAUAGAACAAAUGGAUAUUGGUUGAAAUGCUGAACAGUUCGUUUCUUUAUUCUGUACUAGCUGAAUUUGGUUUUGCAUUAGCUGCACCUUUUGAGGUCUCCUUGGACAUGAUUUAUUUCUAUUCUAUUCUAAUAAGAAGUCAAGUAGAU
rnacentral:lncRNA from 1 species